rnacentral:rRNA from 2 species
UUCAACGAUCAUACCUUGUUGAAAAUACCAGUUAUCGUCCGAUGACUGAAGUUAAGCAACAUUGUGCACGAUUAGUACUCAGAUGGGUGACCGCUUGGGAACGUCGCGUGUCCUUUUGA